rnacentral:rRNA from 1 species
GGAGGAUCCAAGCGUUAUCCGGAUUUAUUGGGUUUAAAGGGUGCGUAGGUGGGAUGAUAAGUCAGAGGUGAAAGCUAGCAGCUUAACUGUUAAAUUGCCUUUGAUACUGUUGUUCUUGAGUAUAGUUGGCGUUGGCGGAAUGUGACAUGUAGCGGUGAAAUGCGUAGAUAUGUCACAGAACACCGAUCGCGAAGGCAGCUAACGAAACUAUCACUGACACUGAUGCACGAAAGCGUGGGGAGCAAACAGGAUUAGAUACCCUGGUAGUCCACGCCGUAAACGAUGAUAACUCGACGUUGGCAAUAUACUGUUCAGCGUCCAAGSGRAAGCGUUAAGUUAUCCACCUGGGGAGUACGAU